CUCCCUUAAAGACUAGUCUUGUA
rnacentral:snRNA from 1 species